rnacentral:rRNA from 1 species
GUGAACGCUGGCGGUAGGCCUAACACAUGCAAGUCGAACGGCAGCACCGUAAGAGCUUGCUCUUACGGGUGGCGAGUGGCGGACGGGUGAGGAAUACAUCGGAAUCUACUUUUUCGUGGGGGAUAACGUAGGGAAACUUACGCUAAUACCGCAUACGACCUACGGGUGAAAGCAGGGGAUCUUCGGACCUUGCGCGAUUGAAUGAGCCGAUGUCGGAUUAGCUAGUUGGCGGGGUAAAGGCCCACCAAGGCGACGAUCCGUAGCUGGUCUGAGAGGAUGAUCAGCCACACUGGAACUGAGACACGGUCCAGACUCCUACGGGAGGCAGCAGUGGGGAAUAUUGGACAAUGGGCGCAAGCCUGAUCCAGCCAUACCGCGUGGGUGAAGAAGGCCUUCGGGUUGUAAAGCCCUUUUGUUGGGAAAGAAAAGCAGCAGGUUAAUACCCCGCUGUUCUGACGGUACCCAAAGUAUAAGCACCGGCUAACUUCGUG